GAUGAAGAACGUAGCGAAAUGCGAUACCUGGUGUGAAUUGCAGAAUCCCGUGAACCAUCGAGUCUUUGAACGCAAGUUGCGCCCGAAGCCUCGGCUAAGGGCACGUCUGCCUGGGCGUCACGCAUCGCGUCUCCCCCAAACCGCCAAGGCGGAGGGGAAGGAAGAUGGCUUCCCGUGCCUCACCCGGGCGCGGUUGGCCUAAAUUUGGAGCCCGCGGCACUUAGCUCUCGCGGCGAUAGGUGGUGAACAAGGCCUUGGCCGUGCAAACAACCCGCUGCGAAGCUCUAUGUCACGUGCGCUCGUCGGACCCUUUGAAGUUGCCUUUGGUGACUUAAAACCUUUGCGACCCCAGGUCAGGCGGGGCUACCCGCUGAAUUUAAGCAUAUCAAUAAGCGGAGGA
rnacentral:misc_RNA from 1 species